rnacentral:tRNA from 1 species
AGGGGCAUAGGUUAAACAGAUUAAACCCUGGGCCUUCAAAGCCCGAAAUGAGUAUUCUGUCCCUG